rnacentral:rRNA from 1 species
UGGGGGAUAUUGCACAAUGGGCGAAAGCCUGAUGCAGCGACGCCGCGUGGGGGAUGAAGGCUUUCGUGUUGUAAACCUCUUUCGCUAUCGAACAAGGCCCGCUUAGGGUGGGUUGAGGGUAGGUGGAGAAGAAGCGCCGGCUAACUACGUGCCAGCAGCCGCGGUAAUACGUAGGGCGCGAGCGUUGUCCGGAAUUAUUGGGCGUAAAGGGCUUGUAGGCGGCUUGUUGCGCCUGCUGUGAAAACGCGGGGCUUAACUUCGCGCGUGCAGUGGGUACGGGCAGGCUUGAGUGUGGUAGGGGUGACUGGAAUUCCAGGUGUAGCGGUGGAAUGCGCAGAUAUCUGGAGGAACACCGAUGGCGAAGGCAGGUCACUGGGACAUUACUGACGCUGAGGAGCGAAAGCAUGGGUAGCGAACAGG